UCUGUAUUUAUCUCACAUUUAUUCCUUAUUACUCUAUGCUCUGUUUGCCUCUGUGUAUUGUGAGAUCAUGCCCUUGACCAGCCUACCUCACAGGGCUCUAUGAGAAUCCAAUUCGGUGAGGCAGGCCACAAUGCUUUAGGACAGGAGGAUCAUUAUUGUGGGGAGGAAGGGCUUGGGUCUCAUCCUCCUGUAAAGGAGCCAGGCACAGGACUAGGUAGAAAUUUUGGAGUCGGAAAGCUUGGGUUUCAAUCCGAGUCAAACAGUGUGACCCUGGGGCAAGAGGCCACAUUCGCUUAUUUUGUAUCUUUCACAACCACCUUGAGACCUGUUGCUGGUAAUGUGUGCAGUGGACACCUGGACAGACCCAUGGGCUUUCUACUCAGCAUGCUGAACCUUAGCCAAAGCAGGAGGGUGAGAGGCACUGCUUGGGUCACAGUGAGAACAGAAGUGUAGGCACAGACUUUAUGUGAUGCCAACAGCAGGCUGUGGGCCAAGAGAACAGGGACCUUCUCCAGGAACCUGUGGGAAGCACAAUAGGGGUCAAACCCCCAGGACGCUAACCACGCUGGGGUCUGCCCUGCACCAAGGACAUGGCUGCAGCGUGGAGCCACCAGAAAGCAAGAGUCCCACUGGCCCGCACCCCGACUCUGCUGUUACACAGUGAGAGCACGCCCCCACUCACCCGCAACAGCUCCUCGUCACCCUGCUCCUUCACAAACACCUCCUCCAGCUCUUGGUUAAGCCCUUCCAGGCUCCGGUGCAGGCAGGGGCUGAGCCGCAGGACAGGUGACCCUGAGGGAAAGCUGGGAGGGGACGCCUGAGGAGGAGGCAGAUGGAGCGAUCACAGACCCCCCCCCCCACCUCCCCAAAGCCCCAUCCAGUGACUAGUUCUGAACAGGGAGUCAUGUCCUGUCUACACAGCAGAACCAAGCGAGUAAAGGGGGAUCUGGGGACAGAGACAGACUGCAAUGGGAAAGCUCAGUGGGCUUUUCUCUGGAAGUCAGCACUUUGAGAGGUCCUGAGGGGCUUUUAGAGUCUGCAGGCUCACUGCCACUCAAUCGGAGAGGGGUGCGGGGAUUGAGGGGAGAGCCAUUUGCGAGGACAAGGAGCCCUUCCAGCCUCACCCAGCAAGCCUGAGGUUGCGCCCAAGCCACCUGGGCAGCCAUGGGGCCACAGGGUGUGCAGCGUGGCCAGCUCAGUCAGCAGCAGGAAGCCCCAGAGAACCUGCCCACACGAGGACCACCACCAGUGACAACAAGGGGAGCGGCCUGGGGAGGGGGCGGAAACAUACCCUCAGUGCUCCGCGUACCGCAUGGUCCCCUUGGAGUGGGGAGCCCCGCUCCUUCUCUUUCCCACUGCGGCUCAGCUUUGUCCUCUGCAGUUGUUGCUUCAACUUGGUAAUCUAGCAGC